ACACAGAGUACACCACGGAGAUGGUCAAAUGUAUAUGUAUAUAGAGAAAAUAUUAACUAGUAACUGUAAAUCAAGGGUUUUAAGAUUUGAAAUAUUGAAAACAAUAGGCCUAGGGUUUUGUUUAGAUCGAAAAUAAGAACAAUUCAAUCGUAAUAGAUCUAGGGUUUCUGUUAAAACAAAAAUGUAAGAACAUUUUGAAAACUUAAUAGACCUAGGGUUUUAUCCGAUCCGAACAGUUGGAAAAUAAUAGAUUAAGGGUUUUGUUUGUUUUAAAUUAUAAUAACAGAUUGAGCACAUAGACACAAUAGAUCUAAACGAACACAUAGACACAACAGAUCUAGUCGAACACAUACAAGUGCUCAAAAAGUAAGCAGAUCUAGGGUUUUGUUUGAUCAAAAAUAUUUUUAACCCAAUUUUUUUUUUGUAGACUCAGAAACUUAAAAAACAGAGCAACAUUCAAAGAUAAAACAAUGAAAAUGAAGAUCAUGGGAUUUACAGAAGCUCAAAAGACAGUCUCAAAAAAAUGACACAAAUAACAUCAAAAAAAAAAAAAUCGGUUGAUAAGAUGAAAUUGAUGAUGGAGAAUCAUUUAAUCGGAGUGAAAUUUCCAAAAAAACACAUGAGAUCUAACGAUUUGAGCUAAGAAUUUUCUAGGGUUUGAACGAGUUUAGAGAGAGAAGAGAAUAGAUUGGCAGAUGAGAGAGAAAGAAAUGAGAAAAA
rnacentral:lncRNA from 1 species